UUACAGCCAUAUCAGGUUGAAACACCAACUCCCGUACGAUCACCAAAGUUAAGCAAUGUCAAGGCUGGUCAAUACCUAGAUGGGUGACCGCUUGGGAAAACCAUGUAUU